CUGCGGGCGCGAGGGGCGGGCCUCGCCGCCUCGCGGAGGCGCCGCAAACUUUUCCCGGCUCGCAAGUUGCCGGGCUCCGCGGCCGCCGACCGACUUCCUCCGCCGGCCGCUGGAGCGAAGGGGGCGCCUCUGCCCCGGGAGGGGGCUGGGCGAGCCGGGGCACGGUCAAGUUGGGGCCGGCGGAGCGCGGCGCCCCGCACUGCGAGGCGCGCGGGGAGGCCGAGCGCGGCCCGCAUUGUCUCCGCGGCCUCGGACCUCGCUCGGGCGGCGGUAGCAGCCGCGGGCGCGGCCAACGAGUUGCCCUCCCCCAAUUUGGCUGCCCCCUUUUCGCCGGCGCCACCGCCGCCGCCGCCCACCGCGUUCUUUGUGUGUCUCUCGCCGCCCUCGGGCCGCUCCGCCGCUGGCCUGACAGCUGAUGGGCUCGCCACGCCGGGUCCCACGUCUUCUCGGCCGCCGCCGGCGGAGCCCGGCCCGGUCGGAGGAAGAGGAGGAGGAGCAGAGGAGAGGAGCGUUGACAGAUGCGGUCUCGAAGCGGCCGCCGCUGAGGGGGAAAACCCGGACUGUCCCCCAGAGACGCGGCCGGGGACCAGCCCUGGCCCUGCACUGCUCCUCCGAGACCUCGUCGGCGCGGCCACCCUCCCUCCGCGGCUGCCCGCGCAGCUCGGGUCCCGCGCCCCCUGCCCGGCUCGGCAGACCGGCGCGCUCGGUCAAGAAUCCAGAGGAACCCGCUCCGCCCCCUGGCUCCAGCGCCCUCCAAUGAUCUCGGCCUACCGGGGGCAGUACUGUCCAAUCAAGUGUCGGAAAACCCGGCCGGUCCCCGAGAGUGUAGCCAAUAGGAGGCCACUCCGGCAACACACCCGCCCUGAUCCGCGGAGGACGGACCGCUCGGCGCCCAGUCCUGGGACCCCGACCCUGGCGCCCAGAGCAACUCUUACGUCUGACCGGAACUGUGUCGCAAAGCCGGAGUGUGGCGAGGGAGGUCCGGCGCUUAUAUUGCGGCUACUACUAGGCGCUGAGGAAAAUGGGAACGCUGGACACACUACUUUUGUGGGUCAUCUGAAUCUCCACCGUUAA
rnacentral:lncRNA from 1 species